rnacentral:rRNA from 1 species
UCAAGCUAUAAAGAGCGCAAGGGGAAUGCCUUGGCAUCAGGAGCCGACGAAGGACGUGACAAGCUGCGAUAAGCUACGGUGAGGAGCAAAUAUCCUGUGACCCGUAGAUUUCCGAAUGGGGCAACCCGGCUGGACAAUAUCCAGUCAUCCUGCAUUGAAUCAAAUAGGUGUAGGAAGGGAACCGCCUGAACUGAAACAUCUAAGUAGGGCGAGGAAAAGACAUCAACCGAGAUUCCGCAAGUAGUGGCGAGCGAACGCGGAAGAGGCCAAACCGGAGGAUUUAUUCUCCGGGGUUGCGGACAGCUAUACGGAACAAUAGUUUAGCCGAACGGUCUGGGAAGGCCGGUCACAGAGGGUGAGAACCCCGUAGGCGAAAGACGAAUUGUUUCAGGCUGGAUCCAGAGUACCGCAGGACACGUGAAACCCUGUGGGAAACAGGGGGGACCACCCUCCAAGCCUAAAUACUACCUGAUGACCGAUAGAGGAGCAGUACCGUGAGGGAAAGGUGAAAAGGACCCCGGGAGGGGAGUGAAAGAGAACCUGAAACCUUGUGCUUACAAGCAGUCAGAGCACGUUAACGUGUGAUGGCGUACUUUUUGUAGAACGGUCCGGCGAGUUAUAGUAACGAGCAAGCUUAAGGUAUUCAGUACCGGAGGCGAAGCGAAAGCGAGUCUGAAUAGGGCGUAUGAAGUUCGUUGCCAUAGACCCGAAACCGGGUGACCUACGCAUGAGCAGGUUGAAGUGGGGGUGAAACCCCAUGGAGGACCGAACCAACCCCCGUUGCAAUGGUGGUGGAUGACUUGUGCGUAGCGGUGAAAUUCCAAUCGAACUCGGAGAUAGCUGGUUCUCCCCGAAAUAGCUUUAGGGCUAGCGUUAGUUUAGAUUACCGGAGGUAAAGCACUGAAUGGUUUAGGGGCUGAUAAAGUUACCGACGCCUAUCAAACUCUGAAUGCCGGAUAAUUGAUGACUAGCAGUCAGACAGUGUGAGAUAAGUUUCAUUGUCAAAAGGGAAACAGCCCAGACCUACAGCUAAGGUCCCAAAUGUAUGCUAAGUGGAAAACGAUGUGGAAUUGCGAAAACAACCAGGAUGUUGGCUUAGAAGCAGCCACUCAUUAAAAGAGUGCGUAAUAGCUCACUGGUCGAGUGACUCUGCGCGGAAAAUGUAACGGGGCUAAGCAUGCAACCGAAGCUUAGGAUUGUCUAAAGACAGUGGUAGGGGAGCGUUCUGUAUGGGGUGAAGUCGCAGCGAGAGCAGCGGUGGACUGUACAGAAGUGAGAAUGCCGGAAUGAGUAGCGAGAAUUAUGUGGGAAUCAUAAUGGCCGAAAAUCUAAGGUUUCUUGGGGAAGGUUCGUCCGCCCAAGGUAAGUCGGGAGCUAAGCUCAGGCCGCGAGGCGUAGGCGAUGCACAUACGGUAGAAAUUCCGUAACCACCGAACUUUAAGCAUGAGGGACACUUUGAGAUAGCGGAACCCGGGCGUUGGUUGACCCGGGCGAAAGGGACCGAAAUAUAGUAGGGAAGUCCGCGAUGCUCGGAGGCGAGAAAAGCUCAUGUGUAUACUAAGGUGCCCGUACCGCAAACCGACACAGGUAGAUGAGGAGAGAAUCCUAAGGCCAACGGGAGAAGGGUUGUUAAGGAACUCGGCAAGAUGACCCCGUAACUUCGGAAGAAGGGGAGCCUCGAAAGAGGCCGCAGUGAAUAGGCCCAAGCAACUGUUUACCAAAAACACAGGUUUAUGCUAAAUCGAAAGAUGACGUAUAUGAGCUGACGCCUGCCCGGUGCCGGAAGGUUAAGAGGAGAUGUCAACCGCGAGGUGAAGCAUUGAAUUGAAGCCCCGGUAAACGGCGGCCGUAACUAUAACGGUCCUAAGGUAGCGAAAUUCCUUGUCAGGUAAG